GAGGCUCCCGAGGGCCGAGGAGGGGGAGGCCAAGGCCAGGCGGGCGGCGAGGAGGCCGAGGUGGAAAAGCUGUAAGGACGCGGGAGGCGGGGCGGGGGAAGAGGAUCCCACUAGGAAAUGCGGCUGAGCUCCGGGAGGUGGCAGGAGCCUGGGCUUGGAGUCCCACAGCACGGGGUUCGAAUCCCAGCUCCGCGAGCACCCGCCGGGUGGCCUUGCGCACAAGUGCCUUCCCCUCCCUCUCCGCCUCCUAGGCGUGGAGAAGGAGCAAACACCUGUUAUUUUGUGCGGAUCCCCGUGGUGAGCACCCUAAGACUCUUCUCCCCCAUCAUUCCCUCAAAACAACCCUGAAGUGCCCCUGUAAUCCCAGCAGCUGGGGAGACUGAGGCAGUUCGAGGCCAGCCUGGGCAUCUUAGUGGCACCCUCUCUCAAAACAAAACCCAAACAAGACCCUGAAAGAGGUGGGUGCUGCCUUUACCCCCAUUCUACAGAUGAGGACACUGAGGCCCAAGGGAGCUACGUGGGAAAAGCCCAGGGUGGCUCAAUUCCCAGACAUGAGGAAACCAGAAGUUCAGAGAGGGAAAGAAAGUUCACCAUGGGAAUUUCAGACUGUCUGAUGCAAAUGACUCAAAGCCUGACUGGAACUGGUUUAUGGGAAGAAGGGAACUUACUGGCUCAUUAAACUGAAAAAUCUAGGCAUGGCUGGAUCUGGAGACCCAAAAAUAUCAGAAUGACUCCUUUUUCCAAAUCUCUCCACUGUGUCUUCGCUGUCCUAGGGUCGUAUUUGGGCUUGAUCAGUGCUCUGUGGCUGCACAUUCAUAACCCAAGUUUUAUUUCAGUUGAAAGAGGCUCCCUUUUUGAUAAUUGCAACACAGGUCUCAGGAUCCACUCUAGUUGGACAGUAGGGGACAUGGGACCAUACUGAUAAAAGGUUCAGGGCAGGAAGAAUUUAGUUGAUUGGCAGGUCUGGUCACAGGCCCCACACCUAGAGGCUCCACUGUAUGAGUGGGGUGAAAGAGUUGCAGGAAUAAGAGAGAUGGGCAGUGGGUGCCAGCUGCUAACUCAACCUGUGCCCUCCAUGCUGAGGUUGCAAGGUUACACAGUUGGAGAGAGGUGGGGGCUGGGCUGGAGCCCUGGCAGCCCGACUCUUGACACCCACAUCCUGACUCCUUUCGCCUUUACUACAGGUGCCAGCAUCCUCAGACUGGAGAGUGAUGCUCCCUCCCUAGAGAGAGCCCACUCCUUCUUUGCUGCUACCACAUCAGGCCUCACCACAUCCCGUGCCCAUCUGCCUCCAGCCCUGCCUCCUGGUGGUCCCUGGAGGGUCCUGGAAGCCCUUCUGGUAGCUGCAGCCUGGCUCUAUCCGCCGUGCUGCCAAAGGCCAUGGUCUUGCUGGGCUGCCCAGGAUGGUGUCAGAUCCCUGGGCUCAAGAGAUCCUCCUGCCUCAACCUCCUGAGUACUGAGACUACUGGUUCCCCACCCAGGCCUGAGUCCAGGAAAAGAACUCUACCUGGGGAGACUCUUAUUCAUUGAUCACUCAGUUGAUUGAGGUAGGCGCUCUCUAGACACCAUCAGAGGCUCACAGCAUUCCAAGAGAAAGAAACUGAGGCUCAGAGAGGGGACUUGACUUUCUGAUUUGACCUUGCACGUGCUGAGCCAGCUCUACCUCUAAGCCAUACCCUCAGCCCGGACUUGACUUCCUCAAGGUCACACAGCAAGGCACUGGCCCAGGUGGGAUUGGAACCUGAUACAACUGACUCCAGAAUGGUUUAACUCAGCCUCACACCUGACCCCUGUGCAGCUAGCUGUCAGGCUCCACCACUUGCUGGGAGCCUUAAAGACAUCAGAUCAAGGUGAUGAGAUGAAGGACAAGGAGUUGGAGCAAAUCACCCGUGACUCAGGGGGAAAGAAGAGUUGGGGAUGUCUUGUGUGAGUGAGUCUUCCUGUUGCUCAGGAGAGGAGAUAAGGGAAUUAAUCUACAAGAGCAACAUCCAUUUCUCCCACCAGGCUAACUGAGCUGGGGACACCAGACCAGCUGAGCACAGACUAAG